ACGAGCAAAAAUGGCGGCGGUUGUUAAAAUUGAUGGAUGAUAAACAAUCGCCGCCUUUUUUGCUUGU
rnacentral:misc_RNA from 1 species